rnacentral:lncRNA from 1 species
GAACAAGGACAGGGGGACAUCCCUACAUUUUACACCUAUGAAGAAGGAUUAUCCCAUCUAACAGCAGAAGGCCAAGCCACACUGGAGAGAUUAGAAGGAAUGCUUUCUCAGUCUGUGAGCAGCCAGUAUAAUAUGGCUGGGGUCAGGACAGAAGAUUCAAUAAGAGAUUAUGAAGAUGGGAUGGAGGUGGAUACCACACCAACAGUUGCUGGACAGUUUGAGGAUGCAGAUGUUGAUCACUGAAAAUGAUUUAUGCAAGUUUAAGGUGAGUAGUUCAUUUUCUCCCUUGUCGCUGAUCAUGAAAAUCAUAUGAAAUGAUUACUUUCUACUUUUUAAAAUUCUUUCUUGAGACAGGGUCUUACUCUGUCACCCAGGCUAGAGUGCAGU